rnacentral:lncRNA from 1 species
CUUUAAUUCUCCUUUUCUAUGAUUUAAUUUAAUUUAUUAUUAUUAUUAUUCUGUAUAGUUUUAUGUUUUUUAUUUUUUAUUUUGUUUUGUGGAAUAGAAAAGUUUCGGAGAGGAGUGGAAGUUAUGCAAAGAUUGAGAGUUGAAUUGAGAAAGAUAAAAAAUUGGAUGGCUGAAAUGUGGAGAAAGAAAAGUUGAGUGAUCAAGCUGGGAGUGUGG